CUCUGAAACAUAGUUGUGAUGUGAAAUCGCGGUCUAAGUACGGGAUGAAAGCAACACAAUCGAUUCUAGGUGAUUUGCUAAAAGCAAAAUAUGCGCAUGGGAAGAAGGGACCGAGGGCUUGUGAACUACCAGAGAUAGUAUUGGAAGAGCUAAACGUAACGAUAUCAUACAUGAAAGCUUGGCACGCGAAAGAGAUGGCAAUGAAAAGAGCUCGUGGUAGUGAGGAAGACAGCUAUAAGUUCUUGCAGACAUACCUGCAUCUAUUGAGGACAACCAAUCCAGGUACGUUGUCCACAGUUCAUACGGAUUACACUGAGGAGGGGAUAUUCGGUUCAAAUAUCUUUUUUUUUGCGUUUGGGGCUUCAAUUGCUGGGUAUAAGUAUCUGAGGAAAGUAAUAGUGAUAGAUGGAACACAAACGAAAGGAAAAUACAAAAGCUGUUUGGUUGCUGCGAGUGGACAAGACGGAAACUACCAAAUAUUCCCACUAGCAUUCGGUAUCAUUGACAGUGAGAACAUCGCAGGGUGGACGUGGUUUUUCGAACAGCUUUUGCAGAUUGUCCCUGAUGAGGAAGAUCUCGUCUUCGUCUCUGAUAGACAUGCAGCCAUUUAUGCUGGACUAAGGACGGUGUACCCUCUCGCAAAACAUGCGUGCUGCACUGUUCAUUUGUUUAGGAACGUUGUCCACCAUUUUAAGUGUGAGGGACUUGCGAAAAUGGUCUCCAAUGCGGCUAGAUCUUACACUGCAUGAGAUUUACGAUAUUGGUUUGAAGAAAUUCAAAGAAGAAACAUUAAGUGUGCCAAUUAUUUGGUAGAGAUAGGGAUUUCUCAUUGGACACUUGCUUACUUCCCGGGCAUGCGAUACAAUGUGAUGAGCAGCAACAUCUCGGAGUCCCUAAAUGCUGCAAUGCAAAAAGCCAUAGAUUUCCCCAUAGUGACGAUGGUGGAAUUCAUAAGGACAAUGUUAAUGCGUUGGUUUUGCGAAAGAAGAGAAGUUGCAACGAAAACUCGGACAAGAUGUACGCCGGAAAUCGAGGAAAUGCUAAUAGAUCAUCUUAAAGAAGCUACUGAUUGUGCAGUCAUAGCAGCAAGUGAAUGGAUUUAUCAAGUGAACGACGGUUUUGGAAUCGUUUUCACGGUGGAUCUAGAGAAGAAGACAUGUACUUGCAGGGUAUUUGAUGUGCUAAUGGUGCCGUGUUGUCACGCUUUGGCUGCGGUGGGGAUAAGGAACGUGGACAUAUACUCACUGGUCGGGAGCUAUGCAUUCGUGACGGAGUGGCGUAAGCUAUGGCGUGAGCAUAUUCUACCUCCGCCAAAGGAAAAGGACACCGAGGUCCCGAACACUAUUAGUGAGGUGGUUGUGAUUCCACCAAAAACAAGAAGACCAGGCGGGCGACCUAGGACUGUACGUAUACCAUCGCGGGGAGAGAAACAAGGCGCAAAUUGGAAAAAGAAGAAACCAAACAAAUGCACUACGUGUGGACAGGAUGGCCACAAUAGAGCAACUUGCAAAAAUCCUCUCUAAGGUUGGGGAUUAGAAUCCAUCCCCGGAUUUUGUUGGUUUUGUAGUUUGGAUAGUUAACGG